rnacentral:lncRNA from 1 species
GUCCUUUGUAAAUAGAUAGAUUUUUGACUUGCUAUAUGAAUAUUGCCUAUUGGAAUAUUCAUGGUUUAAAUGAAGAUAAAUUUCAGGAUGAUUUGUUUAAUGAAAAUGUUUGUAAAUAUGAUAUAGUUUGUUUUGCAGAAACAAUGUUGAGAGAGUCUCCAGGAAAUCUUCCAGGUUUUACAUCUCCCUAUAUAGUUAAGCCUAU